UCCUGUUUAACAAAAACAUGUCUUUUUGAUUAUAAUAUAAAGUCUGGCCUGCCCACUGAAUUUUGAAGGGCCGCAGUAUUCUGACUGUGCAAAGGUAGCAUAAUCAUUUGCCUCUUAAUUAGAGGCUAGUAUGAAUGGUUGAACGAAAUGCGUACUGUCUCAUUCUAAAAAUUUUAAAAAUUUAGCUUUCUAGUUAAAAGGCUUGAAUAGUAUUAGAGGACGAGAAGACCCUAUAGAACUUUAUAAAAUAAUUUAUUAAUUUAAAUAGUAAAAAAUUUUUUAUUUAUAAAUAGUUUUGUUUUGUUGGGGUGACAGGGAAAUAAACCAAACUUUUUUAAUUUUAAAACAUUGAUUUAUGAAUAUUUGAUCCAUUAUUAGUGAUUAUUAGAAUAAGUUACCUUAGGGAUAACAGCGUAAUUUUAUUAGAGAGUUCAAAUCGAUAAUAAAGUUUGCGACCUCGAUGUUGAAUUAAAGAAAUUU
rnacentral:rRNA from 1 species